AGAAGGCUGACCUAUUGACAAAGG
rnacentral:siRNA from 1 species